UACGUAGGUGGCAAGCGUUGUCCGGAUUUAUUGGGUUUAAAGGGUGCGUAGGUGGUCUAUUAAGUCAGUGCUGAAAUAUCCCGGCUUAACCGGGAGGGUGGCAUUGAUACUGAUGGACUUGAGUAAAGUUGAGGUGGGCGGAAUUGACGAUGUAGCGGUGAAAUGCUUAGAUAUCGUCAAGAACACCUAUUGCGAAGGCAGCUCGCUAAGCUUUAACUGACACUGAUGCACGAAAGUGUGGGGAUCAAACAGG
rnacentral:rRNA from 1 species